AAAAUGGGAAUCAUCAGUUAUUCCAAAAUUGAAACAGAUUGCAGCUUUGGAGAAAGGGAGUGUAACCUUUCUGUUGGAUCAACUUUCAACAGGUAAUGAUGAUGAGAAGUGCUACAUCAUGCUGCAGGUCCUGACACACUUACUUCCACCAACUGCAGGAAGAGGUGCAGAGUCAAGCCGGUGCAGUGUCAGAUCUGCUAUUUCAUAUUUGCUGGACUUUGUACCGCUCUCUACCGAUUCAUCUAUAUUUCAAUAUAGUGUGGAACGAGGAUCUCCAGUAUAUCUGACAGUGGUGACAUCGCCACAAGGAGCCAGCAGCCACAACUAGUCUGCAUUGGAAAUCUGACCAGUGAGUCCCGCCAGUUUGUCAUUGUUGCCAAAAACGACAAAGUUGUAAUUCCACUGGAAGAGGAGAGCCUAACCUGUGCCUUGGAUAAGCUGUUUAAGUUCUUCUGGGUCUACAACCUUUCAUAUCCUCCCCAGCUUGCUUCAGUUUUUACCUUUCUGGAAUAUGUAUAUAACUUGCCAAUGUCUAAGACUGUAAGAAGAUCCAAAGUUUUGGAGCUUAUUAGCAAGCUUCAGGCUUUUGACUA